UGCCCUGUAGCACAAUUGGUAGUUUGCACCGGUCUGUUAAACCGGAGGUUUCCUGUUCGACUCAGGACGGGGCAG
rnacentral:tRNA from 1 species